rnacentral:rRNA from 1 species
CCUACGGGAGGCAGCAGUGGGGAAUAUUGCACAAUGGGCGAAAGCCUGAUGCAGCGACGCCGCGUGAGCGAUGAAGGCUUUCGGGAUGUUAAACUCUAUUUGCAGGGGAGCAAAUGACGGUACCUGACCCGGAAGCCCCGGCUAACUACGUGCCAGCAGCCGCGGUAAUACGUAGGGGGCCAGCGUUAUCGGGAUUUACUGGGGGAAAAGGGUGCGUAGGCGGUCUUGAAAGUCAGGGGUAAAAGCCUGGGGGUAAACCCGGGAACUGCGUUGAAAAUGGUAGGCUUGAGUGUCGGAGGGGCAGGCGGAAGUCGUAGUGUAGCGGUGAAAUGCGUAGAUAUUAGGAGGAACGCCAGUGGCGAAGGCGGCCUGCUGGACGAUGACUGACGCUGAGGCACGAAAGCGUGGGGAGCGAACAGGAUUAGAUACCCUUGUAGUC